AUAGUUACUGAAGUUGCAGUUUAGACAGCAGCUACCUUUCCCCCCAGCCCCCUGCCCAGCUGUCUCCAAUGCCUCCCUUACCCAAAUAUAAACCUCUGCUGUGGUCAAGGAAAUGGCAGCAUCACUACUGUGCCCAGCGUUCAUGGUAGUGUUUACCAAAGAUCAAAGGAACUGAUCAAAGGAACUGAUCAAAGCCCCGAUCAAAGCCCCAAAUUUCCAGCUUAAUCGAGUGUCUUCCUUUUAGGGCUCCUGCUGUGACCUAUGGCAAUACUCACCAGGAUACUUCCAAAGCCAAGAGCAAGCACUCAUGGGCCACAAAUACCCAGAUCCUCACUAGCCCCCUUCUGCUAUAGGGAGCAUGCCUCUCUUCCUCUGCCAGCUAGAUUAUUUUUGGCAAAAGCUCACACUGUGAUUUCACCAGCCUGGGUAUAUUGAUUUGAUGAUAAGAGACAGAGCCCCAGCACAAGUGAAAUUAGCCCAGAAGGGGAAUUCAUUGACUCACGGGUCCAAGAAAAUUGUUUUGGGUUUUAUUGUUUUUUGGGGGUUUUUUUGAGACAGAGUCUAGCUCUGUCGCCCAGGCUGGAGUGCAGUGGCAUGAUCUUGGCUCACUGCAACCUCCACCUCCCAGAUUCAAGCAAUUCUCCUGCCUCAGCCUCCUGCGUAGCUGGGACUACAGGCAUGCACCACCAUGCCCAGCUUAUUUUUUGUAUUUUCAGUAGAGACAGGGCUUCACCAGGCUGUCCAGGCUGGUCUCGAUCUCCUGACCUCGUGAUCCUCCUGCCUUGGCCUCCCAAAGUGCUGGGAUUAUAGGCAUGAGCCACUGCACCCGGCCUGAGAUUUUGUUGUUGUUGUCAUUUGUUUGUUUGUUUUGAGACAGAGUCUUAACUCAUCUCCCAGGCUGGAGUGCAUUCGCAUGAUCAUGGCUCAUUGCAGCCUCAACCUCCUGGGCUCAAGCGAUCCUCCCAUUUCAGCUACUUGAGUAGCUGGGACCACAAGGAUGUGUGACUCCAUGCCCAGCUAAUUUUUUUAUUGUUCAUAGAGAUGGGGUCUCACUAUGUUGCCCAGGCUUUUUUUUAUUGAGCAAGAAAAUUGUUGAUGAGGGAGACAGGGAUGCUGCUUAGCCUGAGAAAAGACCAGAACCAGAGAUCUGAGGCCCAUCCAGACUCCGUCUGCAUCUUUUGCCCUGUUUCUGGUCAUCAGCCUAAGUCUCACUCCUGAAUGAACAGCAUGGCAGGAAAUGUGGUUCCUGAGCUCUGAAGUUUUGCACAUUAGUGUCCUCUGUGUGUGUGUGAGUGUGUGUGUGUGUGAGAGUGUGUGUCUGCACGCACACGCACAUGAGUGCAGCCUAGGGUAUAUUUCCAUCAUUUCCUAGGUGUGAAUUGGGGGCAUGACAACCAGGAGUCUUUAGGUCACACUUGGCUAGAAGGAUACAGCAGCUCCUGAUGUAUAUCCUGUCUGGAUCAUGGAUGAGAUGCAGUGUUUGGAUAUAGGAGAGAGGUCUCUAAACUGUCCAAUUAGGAAGCUCUCCACAGGAAGCAGGUUUAUGGGUGUCAUAUGCACACUGGUGGUGCUAUUGGUUUUUCAGCUCAGAUUCUUCUGUCAGUUACUGUUGAUGCCUGGGAAAGGAAGAACUUCUUAUUUUGCUUUAUUAAUGUGCUUGGUGAAUGUCUCGUGCAACUUUGUGCAUUUGGGACAGAGAUACCUGACUUCAUAGCAUUGGGUCUCCAGCCGGGAUCUGACUCCCCAUACAGACCUAAGCUCAUCAGUCAGACCCUGAAUCAGAAGUACAGGGGAAGUUUCUAGAAGAGUGGAGUUGCUGGAUCGAGUUCCCCAAAUCCUUUAACAGUGAGUUUCCUGGGCCCCCUGAACCACCUACGUAAGUUAGGGAAACCCAUCCAGGACCCUCAUCUUUUCCAUCCCGUAGCCAUCCUCAUUCUCCUGCCUGGCAUGCGGCAGCUGUCAGUAAACACUCCAGCUCUCUUUUUGUUAUUGUUAUUAUUGUUGUUAUUUUAAGAUAGUCCUUACAACUUGUCAUUACAUAAGUGCCCCAGCCUAGCAUCAAACAAGCCAGAAACUGCCCCUGACAUUCAUCUCCACCCAGUUUCUUCCUGCACAGCAAACAACUCAUUUCCACUCCCUCGCCUGUUUCUCCAGCUCUUCCCUGGGCUGGGCUGUGUCC
rnacentral:lncRNA from 10 species